ensembl:lncRNA
GACUAGUGUUCCAUUUAUUAAAGUGGCCAAUGAUUUCAAGUCUGUAUGUAGGCAGCAGCCUCUCUGUGCUAGUGAUGGUUAUUUAACAGUCUGAUGGCCUUGAGAUAGAAGCUGCUUUUCAGUCUCUCGAUCCCAGCUUUGAUGCACCUGUACUGACCUCGCCUUCUGGAUGAUAGCGGAGUGAACAGGCAGUGGCUUGGUGGUUGUUGUCCUUGAGGAUCUUUUUGGCCUUCCUGUGACAUUAGGUGCUGUAGGUGUUCUGGAGGGCAGGUAGUUUCAAAUCAAAGUUUAUUUCUCACGUGUGCCGAAUACAGUGAAAUGCUUACUUACAGACUCUAAACAAUAGUGCAAAAAAGGUGUUGGGUGAACAAUAGAUGAGUAAAGAAAUAAAACAACAGUAAAAAGACAGGCUAUAUACAGUAGCGAGGCUAUAAAGAGGAGUUGGUGGGUGGGACACAAUGCAGAUAGCCCGCUUAAACAAUAUGUGGGAGCAGCGGUUGGUCGGGCCAAUUGAUGUAGUAUGUACAUGAAUGUUAAUGCGGUAGCACAAAAAGGGGCUCUGAGGACACCUCCUUCGCUGGAUCAGCACACACCAUCACCACCGGCUCCGUCUCUUGAGUGGGGGCCGGAUAACUGGCCCGAGGAGAUGCCUUGCAUUCGGGCACCACCCCCAAAAGGGGGAGAGAGCGGGCCAUCGACAGAACGAGGAAGAGCUAGACUAGCAGUAGAAUAUAAAUGGGUUAAACUGAUGCAAGAGUUGGGGACAGAGGAUGCAUCUGUCAUUAGUAAUGUUUCACAGUAAACAUGUCAAACUAACCCUUUACAGAAAUAGCUCGCCACAAGGUUAGAAUAUGACUCAGCGCUAAAGCCGACCUGGUCCCGAAAAGAGUAUGUAAGGAGAGUGUCUUCCUUAAGAGGGCAUGAAAGUGCUACUUGACUUAUCACCGACAGACAGCUCGUGAUACUUCAACUAUCAUCAACCUAAAAGGUAAUAUCUGACUUUCAUACUCUAGAACAAUUGUACCUCUUGACUUCUGAUUUCUG